AAUCAAUUAUAUAAAAAAGGUUAAGAAUUGCUUAACUAGAAGAAAUAUGGGGCUAAUAGCUAAAUAACUUGGCAGAGUUAUUAAAAAUUGGUUAAGUAGGGGCUGUUUGGCUUUUCGAAAAAUUAUGAAAAGGAAAAUUCAAGAAAAAAGUAUUUUAGAGAAAAAACCGUUUUUAGUUUUCUAUCCGUUUAGCUUCAAGGAAUAUUAGCUUUUUUUUUUGAAA
rnacentral:lncRNA from 1 species